rnacentral:rRNA from 1 species
CCAGAGAACUUAGCAGAGAUUGCUUUUGGUGCCUUCGGGAACUCUGAGACAGGUGCUGCAUGGCUGUCGUCAGCUCGUGUUGUGAAAUGUUGGGUUAAGUCCCGCAACGAGCGCAACCCUUAUCCUUUGUUGCCAGCGGCUCGGCCGGGAACUCAAAGGAGACUGCCGGUGAUAAACCGGAGGAAGGUGGGGAUGACGUCAAGUCAUCAUGGCCCUUACGGCCAGGGCUACACACGUGCUACAAUGGCGCAUACAAAGAGAAGCGACCUCGCGAGAGCAAGCGGACCUCAUAAAGUGCGUCGUAGUCCGGAUUGGAGUCUGCAACUCGACUCCAUGAAGUCGGAAUCGCUAGUAAUCGUAGAUCAGAAUGCUACGGUGAAUACGUUCCCGGGCCUUGUACACACCGCCCGUCACACCAUGGGAGUGGGUUGCAAAAGAAGUAGGUAGCUUAACCUUCGGGAGGGGCGCUUACCACUUUGUGAUUCAUGACUGGGGUGAAGUCGUAACAAGGUAGGCGUAGCGAG